rnacentral:misc_RNA from 1 species
GAUGAAGAACGCAGCGAAAUGCGAUAAGUAGUGUGAAUUGCAGAAUUCAGUGAAUCAUCGAAUCUUUGAACGCACAUUGCGCCCCUUGGUAUUCCAUGGGGCAUGCCUGUUCGAGCGUCAUUUGUACCUUCAAGCUUUGCUUGGUGUUGGGUGUUUGUCCUGAGGGACUCGCCUUAAAGUAAUUGGCAGCCAGUGUUUUGGUUUUGAAGCGCAGCACAAGUCGCGAUUCAAAGCUAUACGCCAGCUUCCACAAGCCUUUUUCACUUUUGACCUCGGAUCAGGUAGGGAUACCCGCUGAACUUAAGCAUAUCAAUAAGCGGAGGA